rnacentral:misc_RNA from 1 species
GAUGAAGAACGUAGCGAAAUGCGAUACGUAAUGUGAAUUGCAGAAUUCAGUGAAUCAUCGAGUCUUUGAACGCACAUUGCGCCCCCUGGUAUUCCGGGGGGCAUGCCUGUCCGAGCGUCAUUGCUGCCCUCAAGCACGGCUUGUGUGUUGGGCCUCCGUCCUCCUCCCGGGGGACGGGCCCGAAAGGCAGCGGCGGCACCGCGUCCGGUCCUCGAGCGUAUGGGGCUUCGUCACCCGCUCUUGUAGGCCCGGCCGGCGCUUGCCGACACAUCAAUCUUUUUUCCAGGUUGACCUCGGAUCAGGUGGGGAUACCCGCUGAACUUAAGCAUAUCAAUAAGCAGAGGA